AUGAAACAUGUUUCAGUUUCAGCACUGAGAUUUUCAGAAGAAAAAAAGUUUAACAGUAAAACAGAGCAAAAAAAUUGUGUUGCCAACAAGCACUCGUAUCAUCUAAAAGUGCUCAGAUUGAUGAACAUACCAGAGAUAAGUUACGCUUCCACUCAAACUGUUAAUCUCAUGAAACAAAAAGCUGCCCAGUCACUAGGAAGUUAUCCAAUGCACACACAAGAGAAUCUGGCCGAUGCUCGAAGGAACCAGUGGAAUAAGAUGUGGUACCUGAAACAUUUCCAAAGCCUGAAGGUUAGGAUAUUCAUCAUACUCUAA
rnacentral:rRNA from 1 species